rnacentral:ncRNA from 2 species
CGAUCCCGCGCGGGAGAGCCCGGAACGUGCCGGGCGCCGAAGGAGCAACUCCUCCCCGGAACCUCUCAGGCACCAGGACCGCGUGGGCGAG